GCUUAAAACACAAAUUUAUUUUCUUACCACUCGCAGGACCGGAAGUCCAAGAUCCAGGUGCUGGCAGAAUUCAUUUCUGAUGAAGCCUCUCUUUCUAGCUUUCAGAUGGCCACCUUCUCACUGUGUCCUCACAUGGCCCUUCCACUGCGAACACAUACUCCUGGUGUCUCUUCCUCUCUUUGUAAACACACCAGUACUAUUGGAUUAGGGCCCCACCCUUAUGACCUCAUUUAACUUUAACUCUUGUCCCCCACCCCCCGGGACAAGUUGUGCUGUGGUUACGGGGGGCAGAAGACGGCGGUCUCCAUCUGCAUUCUAUCUCCAAAUAACGUCACAUUGGGAAUUAGGUCUUCAACAUAUGAAUUUUGGGGGGUGGUGGGGGGUGGGCAGGCAGUAAUAAUUCAGUCCAUAACAGGUAGAUUUCCUAAGUUUCAGGUACCAAAUGCAAAACCAAAAGCUAAAAGACCACUUAAGACUUCAAUGGGUAAGUCACACAGCAUUGCAUCCACUAUAUUUUAUUUGUCAAAGCAACUCUUAGAGCUGGUCCAGAUUCAAGAAGGUGGGGAGAAUAGAUUUCAUCUCUUAGUGGGAGGAGUAGCAAAGCCACAUUUGCAAAAGGGCACAUGGGAUGGGAAAGAUUGUGUGCCCAUCUUUGGAAGCAGGCAUCACAGAGGCUUCGAGAAUGAGUGAGUAGGAACCUGCAGAAUUCUCCCUAGACCUCUGGUCACCACCAAGGGACUUGACAGUUAUCUGGAGGCAGAACCACUUGUAGGCCAAGACCUCCUCAGGAGAACGUCUUCUCACCCUCCUUUAGUCUAGCUGGUUAUCUGAGAACAUCCACACUGAAACCUACAUCAUUUCACAGCUCUGAUAAGGACCUCGAAUUACCUUGACUGUGAAAAUAAUGGACCCCUUGGCGUCUUCUAAAGGCCUCCGUUUGCCUGUCUGUGGGAGGAGUGGCCACGGGAAGGCUGAAUUGGAUGCUCACCAAGAUUCCUCCCAGCUUGAGCCCACGUGCGGUGCCUCAUGACUGUAAUCCCAGCACUUUGGGAGGCCGAGGUGGGUGGAUCACCUGAGGUCAGGAGUUCGAGACACAAACUGGCCAACAUGGUGAAACCCCAUCUCUACUAAAAAAUACAAAAAUUAGCAGGGCACAGUGGUGCAUACAUGUAGUCCCAGCUAUUUGGGAGGCUGAGGCAGGAGAAUUGCUUGAACUUGGGAGGUGGAGGUUGCAAUGAGCCGAGAUCGCACCACUGCACUCCAGCCUAGGUGACAAAGCAAGACUCCAUCUCAAAAAUUAAAUAAAAUAAAAACAGAAAUUCCUCCCAGCUCAAACACACCCUCCUUCUAGAUUGCUCCAGAAGGUUCCUCUGUGGUCCUCACCUGUGUGGCAGCCUUCUUCUCUAUGCUAGUCUUUAUUCUGCUCUGAAGAGAACUGGGCAGUAGGGGUUUUGAAGGUCUUCCCAUUUCCCCUUUCUUCCCAUCUGUCUCAGGGUAGCUGGUUUAGGAUCAGAGAGACACAGAUUGGAAUCCCAACUCUGUCACUGACCAGCCUGGUGAGCUCACAUAAGCUCUUCAAUCUCUAUAUGCCUCUGUUUCCUCAUCUACAAAAUGAAAAGAAAAAUAAUGGCUUCUUAGGGACUUUGUAGUGAGGAAAAAAUGAGACAAGGAACUUGCAAAGGUCCAAGAGGAUCCCAGCACAGAG
rnacentral:lncRNA from 10 species